rnacentral:lncRNA from 1 species
GUGUCGUGGCUGCUGGGGAGAAAGAGGCUUCCGGACAUGCUCUGGAGUCAGAAGACAGCGAAAAGAGAAGCAGAAGCCCCGGUGGCAAGAGUCUGAAGCAGGAAGGAUGACUGUAGCCUGUGGAUUGUACUGCAGUAGGAAACUGUCCUAGCAAGGCUCCACUUUGCCCCAGCUUCAAGCUGGAAAGGAGGAGAACAUGAAACAUUGCUUGAAGACAAUGGCCGAGACAGCAGGUCCCACCCUGCACAGCCACCAGCAUCUCUCCCCUCAGCCCUGUCUCCUCUUCUGCAGUUGGGAUCUGCACAUUUAAGCCUGAAAUUGUCCUGUGAAGUGAAGUAUGAUCGGACAGCCUCUUUUCAGCUUUUAUGACAAUGGAGACAGAGGAAUUGUGGCUCUUGCCAAGGUCACAGGAUUGGAAUACAGAGCCAAGCCACCCCAGGACAUGCAAGAGCCUCAGAAGGGAAAAAAGCCCAGCAGGAAGGGAGAACAAGUAGCCUCUGUCCUGAAGUUGUAACAGCCAGGGGCCAGGAUGGAGGAGGAGGACCCCAUAAUCUGCCCAUCUGGGACUUGGCAGGGGACCUGGGAAAAUGUACCCCAACCCAUCCCUUAAGGGCCUUUGUCUUUGGCCCAUUGGCCUAGCAUCUACUUCUUCACCGUGUCUGUUCUUGUCACACCUAGUCAGGUCUGUUUGGGUCUGAGGUGCAUGGAACAUUCUGGGUAGGCCUCCAGCAAACGGAAGCUCUUCACCGUGUUUCCAGCCUGGGACCAAGGGCAGCAUACUGGCAAAGUUGCCAAAGCAAGGGACUCCAGCCUCUUAGGAGUUAAUGACUCCCUCUCCCCAGCUGUCCUCCCCUUGGUGCUCCUCUUCCUCCCUCCUCCUGCUCACAGCAGGCAGGGCCUAGACCCGGGAGCCAUGCUGCUGUGCUGUUGCCAGGGGAGCACGGAGGCAGAUCUGAGCUAUGCAGGGAAAAGGCCCAGCCUGUCAAAGUGUCUGAGAUGAACCGCCGCCGUCCCUGUGCAGCUGGGCUCAGACGUGUCUCAGCUCUUGUUCUGUGCCUGAGAAUGGCGAAACCCAGUGAGGUUCAAGGGCAAACUCGCUAUUCAUUAGUCAGGGGUUCUUGACGUCCCGUCUCUCCCAGGGAUGAGUUCCCCCCUCCUCUUUCUCCCCCUCCUAUGACACAUUCCUGGGUGCCUUUGGUGAGGACUGCACACCCUCCUCCUGCCUAGCCCCCUCUCCAAAGGCCCCUGAAUAAACUCCCCCCAAGGAGACCAGGCAGGGCAGAGACAAUGGCUGCAGGAAAUCAUUCAGGCGGGACAUGCUGGCCUGCCCUCCACCCAGUCCCCCUGUGGGCCCCACUCCCUUCUGAUUCAGGGCACCCUUGGGCCCCCAGCCUAUACAGGCCUGGACAGGAAGAAACCACUGGGAACCACCCUAAGGACAACAUGCUAGUCCAGUGCCAUUCUUCGCUGGCUCUGUGGGUGCCUUUGUGGCCUGUACCGACUGGCUGGCUAAUUUUGUGGUUUCUGUACCAUCACAUGCCUAUUUUAAGACACUCUCCAGCACUGUCGGUUAGGGAGUGUAAAUUUUGCAAUAUUUUCUGAAAUGUGGCAAUAUCAAAAUGUAAAAGGCACACAUACUUGGUCACAAACAAAUGGCACUAUUUACUCUGUGGGCAUAUUUGUAAAAGUUGCCAAAGAAUUAUAUACAAGGAUGUUCAUCAGAGCAUUUCUUUUGAAGAGUAAAGAAAUGGACAUGAACCUGUGGUCCGUUCAUACGGUGGAAUACCUAUGCAGCUGUAAAAAUCAGUGUGGUAGAUCUCCGUAUAUGAGUUGAUGUGGAAGGUUGGCCAGUUCACAUGAUAAGGUGAAUAGAAUAAGUUACAGAACAGGCUGUAGAGUAUGAUCUUAUUUGUAGAUGUUUAAAACUGAGUCAUAAGUAUGCUUAUAUACAGAUCGUUUCUGGAAGUAUGUACUGGAAGUCUACCUCUGGGGAGUGGGGAUGGGGGAGUGCACUCUUCUAUACUGUUAUAUUUUCUUUUCAUGCUCCUAAGGUACUUUUAUUGGAAGAUGUAAAGCGGUUCAAUGUAAUAGGCUUAACUUCUGUCAACUAAGUUGGCGUGGGUGCUUUAAGAGGGUGGUAGUGAUGUUGCUGGAGAAAGUAUCCCACAGUCACUGGUGGCUUCAGCCACGGGCCAUUUUGGGGCCUAAUAAUCACAUAUCAUCAUGGUUGCUAGUGUUAAUCGAAAACCUACUAAGUGCCAGGCUUACUGUCUCUGGGUCUUGCUUACGUGGAUGUCAUUUUUCCAGUUGCACCAAAUCGAAAGAGGUUAAUUGGUUUGUUGGAGUUCCUUUGUAGGUGAAGGGCAGAGCCAGGAGCUUGGCUAGGGACAGGGGAGGUGAGUGGGGGAUGGUGGAUAGGUCUUGGCUCCCAGUUUCCUUCUGGGCAGACAUUGCCCCUCUGCCCUGAGGACCUGCUUGUUUGGGGGAAGAGGCCUUUAGAGGCACCAGGGUCAUGCCAGGUGUUGGACAUGGUGAACUGGGAAGUGCUCCCAUCUGGCCACAGCGCAGAAGUAUCACCGUGCUGGGGGAUGGGGAACAGGGCUGUGAAUGGGCCUAUUUGCAUAAGCAGCAUGUGUCUGGAGAGAAAGACAUCACAGAGCAGAAGAGUGCGGGUGCCCAGGAGUGCACUUGCCACCCCUACUUCAUCCCUGAAAGAGUAAAUGGCCUGGAAGGUGUCUCUGAGAGGUAAUGCCGCACACCACCCUCCCUGGGGGCAGGGUCAGGCUACACCUGCCUUAGGUCGGGGGCUGCAGCAGCCUGAGAGCUCUCAGUAGGGCCUCAGUAGCCUGGGAGGGAGCAGGGGCAGGGGGCAGGGAAAGAGGCGUAAUGGGGCUGUCCAGAGGGGCCUGGGAAACCUGGUCCCUGAGGCCUGGGCACAGCUACAAUCACUUCAAAUUGGCUGUGGGGCCAGUGGACUGGGAAGGAAAAAAGCAAUAAGAGUGACCAAGUGCAGAAGGCUGUCAGGUCCCAGGUCACAUGCCUUAGUGCAGUGACUCCUCAUCAUUUUAUGGGGUGUGGGUGUCGUUGGUACACCCAUUUUACAGAUGAGGACACCGAGGCCCAGAAAAGUUAAGUUACAUGUCCUAAGUCACACAGCUUGUAAGUGCCAGAACUGAGAUCAAAACCAAGUCUCUUUGACUUUAAAGUCUGUACUCUGACCCCAAAGAGAUCCUGUUUGGCCACUUAUAGGAGGUCCCUAAAGCUGCAGACUCCCCUUGCCGGCACCCACAUAUAGAGACAUUAACCCUUCCCCUGCAGGGUCACCUCAAAUAGUCUUUUAGCUGGGCUUCUCCUGCAAUUCCACCUAAUGCCAUCCCCUGGGUUUUGCCCAAACCUGAACUGGGCAGUGGGGUGAGAGGAGGGGUUUACAGGGUUACAGAGCCUCAUACAGAUAGGAGCCCAUGGCUGCUGGUCAUCUGCAUUCCUGCAGGAUUGGCUGUUCCUUGGGGUCCUUGGCAGGAAAAUGAGGAUUGCUCCGAGGCCUGCUCCAGUACUUCCCAGAGGCUGGCCUGGUGUGGGGCUCUGGGAAGGCUGAGGCUGGAGAAGCGUAAGUAGGAGGGCAGAGAUGGCACUCAGGUAGCUUGAAUCACCAGGACCCUUCCAAGCCCCACAGGUUCUGAGGGAGUACUAGGGCCAGCUCUGGGAGAGGUCUCUUCCUAUGCUGUGAACCCCCUGCCUUUCUUGCAGCCUACAACGAAUAAAUUUUCUUUGCAAAGGCU